UACGGAGGAUCCAAGCGUUAUCCGGAUUCACUGGUUUAAAGGUGCGUAGGUGGAAUGACAAGUCAGUGGUGAAAACCUGCAGGCUUAACUGUAGAACUGCCAUUGAUACUGUUAUUCUUGAGUACAUUUGAUGUGAGUUGGAAUGUGUCGUGUAGCGGUGAAAUUGCUUAGAUAUGACACAGAACACCAAUUGCGAAGGCAGCUCACAA
rnacentral:rRNA from 1 species